rnacentral:lncRNA from 1 species
AAACAGAGAGCAUGGGAGGCUAAGGAGGCGGCAAAGAAUAAGAGUGCUGAUGCAGCUGAGGCGGCAAAGAAUAAGAGUGCUGAUGCAGCUGAAGCAGCUAAGGAUAAGACUUCUGAGACUACGGAGGCAGCCAAACAGAGAGCGUGGGAGGCUAAGGAAGCAGCUAAGAAUAAGACUUCUGAGACUACGGAGGCAGCCAAACAGAGAGCGUGGGAGGCUAAGGAAGCAGCUAAAAAUAAGACUUCUGAGACUACAGAGGCAGCCAAACAGAGAGCAUGGGAGGCUAAGGAAGCAGCUAAGAAUAAAGCUUCUGAGACCACAGAGGCAGCAAAGGUAUGAAGUUUCAUUUCUUUAAUCUUCUUCAAGUGAAGAUCCUCUAUCCUAUAUUAUUCUCUCCUCAAAGAAUCAAUGUUUACUUGCAAAUAAAAAGUGACACUUCAUUCUAAUUAAUAUAUUAAUAUUAACAUGUGUAGAUUUAAGUGGGUGAGAAGGAUAAAGGAAUUGGGGAUAAUGAUUUGUAUUUAUUGACUCGGACUCUAAUUAAAACAUCGUUAGGAAAAUUAUGGAUGAAGAAUAACUCUCAACUCUCUCUCAAACCCUAGCCAAAUGGCUAGGUACUAAUGAAAAUAUGCUAUUAAAUUACAAAAUUAAAUAUUAACUUUUUUUUGUUGUUUCAUUCUUUGAGACAAAAUUUGAAAUAUAAUUUUAGAUUUGUAGAGCCCUUUAAUUUUUUUUAAAUAGUUGCAUUUAUAUUUGUACAUCAUGAAUCUGAACUAUUAAACGAUUAAGUGUUUUUUAAAUAGGUACAUAACUUGCUUCGGACUGAUGCAGUGUUACAUUUAAAAAAUGUUAAGCAAAUAAUAGAACUAUCUAUCUAUAUACGUUGGUUAGUUUGUGGAUUGAUUAAUUAGUUAAUGAUAACUAAUGGGUUUGCUUAUUUUUUAUGACAAAAUAUCUUGAUAUUUGAGAAAAAUUACGAGGUAAUUGUGCGUAUGGAUGAAUGCAGG